UUACGCCUUCCAUGAAGCCGGAAUUGCUAGUAAUGGCAGGUCAGCAUACUGCCGUGAAUACGUUCCCGGGCCUUGUACACACCGCCCGUCACACCAUGAGAGUUGGGAAUACCCGAAGCCUGUGAGCUAACGUUAAGAGGCAGCAGUCGAAGGUAGAAUCAAUGAUUGGGGUGAAGUCGUAACAAGGUAGC
rnacentral:rRNA from 1 species